rnacentral:misc_RNA from 1 species
CACAUAGCAUGGUGUUAUAUGUGCAGCAGCCAAUGCACCAGUUAUUUGCACAAUUUUGGUCGGAGAAACAGUUGCAGAUAUUUUCUCAACUUAACUUCAAGAAUGUGCAGAAGUGCCGAGUUUGCUAAUGGCUGGUCACAUAUUUGGAAAUUCCACUUCUCAUUUCUGCAUUAAAAUCCUCCCAAAAUGCAAAAUGUGAUGGAUUACAGACAUCGAAGUGUUGGUGUCGUGAACAUUCAAGGGGAGAUGCAGCACAGAAUUGUGUCAGUGACCAGGUCGCGGUCUCAAAGCGACGAAAAUA